UCACAAUAUUCAUCUGGAGGUAUAUAAGGAAAAUGAUGAAACAGGUACUAACUGUUUAUCUGACUGAAUCUAAUUUGAAAACCAUGUCAAACUUGUACAAAGUAUGCCAUAAUUUACAUUAAAGGACAUGUGAUGAUGCUCCAAGACUUGAUCCAGUGGCCAGUUCUAGAGUAAGACCAGCCUAUGAUGCCAGGAAGCGACCACGAGACCGGUCCUCAGCACAUUCAAGUUCAGAGUCACACAGCUCAGACAGUGAUAGUGGUCAUCAUUCUCACCGAAGACGUAAGAGAACAAGGCAUUCCUACCCUGAUACUAGUUCCCGGUUUCUGUACGACAGGCGUGAAGAAAAUGGUCACAGUCAUCGUCACAAAUCCAAAAGAUCUCACCAUACAAGGAGGCACAGGUCUGAAUCCCCGAAACACCGUGGUGGUAGCAAUAGUCGUAGUAAGAGAGAAGUUAAAAUUGUAGAGAAUGUAUAGAUAGUUUACUGAGAUAUUACAUACCUAAAUGAAUGGAUGUACAAUGUACAUUACUGCGGUGAGAUUUUAUAAACUGUUGGUUUAGUGGCCAAUAACAAAGUUUGAAAAGAGACACUUCAGGGAAGGCGAUAUGUUAUUGUAUACAUGUACAUAAACAGCUGUUAAAGUUUGUUGAUUUUUUUCUUUUCAUUAUUUGUUAAACUUACCGGUAUAUUGUUGUUUUCUUUCUGAAGUAGUGAAAAGGAUGCUGCUUUUUAGCUAACCUGUCACAAAGUGACAGGGUGAGCUUUUGUGAUCGCUUUUCGUCCGGCGUCCGUCCGUCGUCCGUCCGUCCGUAAACUUUUGCUUAAAAUGACAUCUCCUCAUAAACCACUGAGCCAAUUUCAUCCAAACUUCACAGGAAUGUUCCUUUGGUGGUCACCUUUAAAAAUUGUUCAAAGAAUUUAAUUCCAUGCAGAACUCUGGUUGCCAUGGCAACCAAAAGAAAAACUUUAAAUAUCUUCUUUUAAAAAACCAUAAGAGCUAGAGCUUAGAUAUUUGGCAUGAAACAUCUUCUAGUGAGUGUCUACCAAGUUUGUUCAAAUAAAAGUCCUGGGGUCAAAAUUGGCCCUGCCCGGGGAGGGGGGUCAUUGAUUUUUUCCUUUAUGCAUAAAGUAAAAACUUAAAAAAUCUUCUUUUAAAGAACCCAAAGAGCUAGAGCUAAGAUAUUUAGCAUGAAACAUGUUCUAAUGAGUGUCUACCAAGUUUGUUCAAAUAAUAGCCCUGUGGUCAAAAUUGGCCCUGCCCCUGGGGGUCAUAGAUUUUCCCUAUAUGCAUAUAGUAAAAACUUAAAAAAUCUUCUUUUAAAGAACCGUUAGAGCUAGAGCUUAGAUACUUGGCAUGAAACAUACAUCUUCUAGUGAAUGUCUACCAAGUUUGUUCAAAUAAAAGCCCUGGGAUCAAAACUGGCCGGGGGGGGUCAUUGAUUUUCCCUAUAUGCAUAUAGUAAAAACUUAAAAAAUCUUCUUUUAAAGAACCCAAAGAGCUAGAGCUUAGAUAUUUUGCAUGAAACAUCUUCUAGUGAAUGUCUACCAAGUUUGUUCAAAUAAAGGCCCUGGGGUCAAAAUUGACCCCGCCCCAGGGGGUCAUAGAUUUUCCCUAUAUGCAUAUAGUAAAAACUUAAAAAUCUUCUUUUAAAGAACCCAAAGAGCUAGAGCUAAGAUAUUUAGCAUGAAACAUUUUCUAAUGAGUGUCUACCAAGUUUGUUCAAAUAAAAGCCCUGGGGUCAAAAUUGGCCCCGCCCCAGGGGUCAUUGAUUUUCCCUAUAUGCAUAUAGUAAAAACUUAAAAAAUCUUCUUUUAAAGAACUCAAAGAGCUAGAGCUAAGAUAUUUAGCAUGAAACAUGUUCUAAUGGGUGUCUACCAAGUAU